rnacentral:rRNA from 1 species
CGUCAGCUUACCCUAUGAAGGCCCCUUAGUAAGCACAAUUGGUACAACCCAAAACGUCAGGUCGAGGUGUAGCGUAUGGAAAGGGAAGAAAUGGGCUACAUUCCUUAACCCCAAGGAAUUACGAAAAAUAUCACUGAAACGUGUAUCUAGAAGGAGGAUUUAGCAGUAAGCAGAAAAUAGAGCGUUCUGCUGAAACUGGCCCUGAAGCGCGCACACACCGCCCGUCACUCUCCCCAAGCGCACUCACGCAACUUAACUUAAAACCUUUUAACAGCAAAGGGGAGGCAAGUCGUAACAUGGUAAGUGUACCGGAAGGUGCACUUGGCAAAA